GCCUGGGUGGCUCAGUCGGUUGAGCGUCCGACUUUGGCUCGGGUCAUGAUCUCCCGAUCAUGGUUUGUGGGUUUGAGCCCCACAUCAGGCU
rnacentral:tRNA from 1 species